rnacentral:rRNA from 1 species
AACGAACGCUGGCGGCAUGCCUAACACAUGCAAGUCGAACGAAGCCUUCGGGCUUAGUGGCGCACGGGUGCGUAACGCGUGGGAAUCUGCCCUUGGGUUCGGAAUAACAGUUAGAAAUGACUGCUAAUACCGGAUGAUGUCUUCGGACCAAAGAUUUAUCGCCCAGGGAGGAGCCCGCGUCGGAUUAGCUAGUUGGUGAGGUAAAGGCUCACCAAGGCGACGAUCCGUAGCUGGUCUGAGAGGAUGAUCAGCCACACUGGGACUGAGACACGGCCCAGACUCCUAUGGGAGGCAGCAGUGGGGAAUAUUGGACAAUGGGCGAAAGCCUGAUCCAGCAAUGCCGCGUGAGUGAUGAAGGCCUUAGGGUUGUAAAGCUCUUUUACCCGGGAUGAUAAUGACAGUACCGGGAGAAUAAGCCCCGGCUAACUCCGUGCCAGCAGCCGCGGUAACAC